rnacentral:rRNA from 1 species
UACGAAGGGGGCUAGCGUUGCUCGGAAUCACUGGGCGUAAAGGGCGCGUAGGCGGCCGAUCAAGUCGGAGGUGAAAGCCCAGGGCUCAACCCUGGAAUGGCCUUCGAUACUGGUUGGCUCGAGACCGGAAGAGGUAAGUGGAACUGCGAGUGUAGAGGUGAAAUUCGUAGAUAUUCGCAAGAACACCGGUGGCGAAGGCGGCCAUCUGGACGGUAACUGACGCUGAGACGCGAAAGCGUGGGUAGCAAACAGG